rnacentral:rRNA from 1 species
UGGGGAAUCUUGGACAAUGGGCGAAAGCCUGAUCCAGCCAUGCCGCGUGAGUGAAGAAGGCCUUAGGGUUGUAAAGCUCUUUCAAUUGUGAAGAUAAUGACGGUAGCAAUAGAAGAAGCACCGGCUAACUUCGUGCCAGCAGCCGCGGUAAUACGAAGGGUGCUAGCGUUGUUCGGAAUCACUGGGCGUAAAGCGCACGUAGGCGGACUGCCAAGCCAGAGGUGAAAGCCCGGGGCUCAACCCCGGAAUUGCCUUUGGAACUGGUAGUCUAGAGUACGAUAGGGGGUGGUGGAAUUCCUAGUGUAGAGGUGAAAUUCAUAGAUAUUAGGAGGAACACCAGUGGCGAAGGCGACCACCUGGAUCGAUACUGACGCUGAGGUGCGAAAGCGUGGGGAGCAAACAGGAUUAGAUACCCCCGUAGUCC